GGCAGUGUAGCAUAGUGGUAAGGCGAAGGGCUUGCAACCAAAAGGUUGCUGGUUCGAUUUCCCGCUGGGGCGCUGCCG